GGGGGCGCAUUGGUUUCGACGGGGAUGUGGAAGCCAAAGUGGCAGGUCGAGGCGCCGCUGGCCUCGUAAAAAGCGGCACAAAAGUAAUUGCCAAGAACGAUUACGACUACGCCUACGCUGCUUAAUGCAGUCUGGCUAAUGAUCGCUUGACGAUCACGUCGCCUCCGUGAACGCCUGAUACACGGAUGCGGCGACACGCUAUCAGGCUGGCAGAUGUUUGUGCUUACUGAAACAUCCUGCGAGAUCUUACAGAAAGCUGGCCACGGGAACGCCCGGUCAAGGGCAAACUCCUGGGUGAGAAAAAGUAAACUUGACCUAAACCUGUAGAAGCUUUGUGUGGAAUUUUCUCGGACGGGAGUUCAACUCUCCCCGCCUCCACCA
rnacentral:tmRNA from 1 species